rnacentral:rRNA from 1 species
UUAAGCGACUAAGCGUACACGGUGGAUGCCCUGGCAGUCAGAGGCGAUGAAGGACGUGCUAAUCUGCGAUAAGCGUCGGUAAGGUGAUAUGAACCGUUAUAACCGGCGAUUUCCGAAUGGGGAAACCCAGUGUGAUUCGUCACACUAUCAUUAACUGAAUCCAUAGGUUAAUGAGGCGAACCGGGGGAACUGAAACAUCUAAGUACCCCGAGGAAAAGAAAUCAACCGAGAUUCCCCCAGUAGCGGCGAGCGAACGGGGAGCAGCCCAGAGCCUGAAUCAGUGUGUGUGUUAGUGGAAGCGUCUGGAAAGGCGUGCGAUACAGGGUGACAGCCCCGUACACAAAAAUGCACAUAUUGUGAGCUCGAUGAGUAGGGCGGGACACGUGGUAUCCUGUCUGAAUAUGGGGGGACCAUCCUCCAAGGCUAAAUACUCCUGACUGACCGAUAGUGAACCAGUACCGUGAGGGAAAGGCGAAAAGAACCCCGGCGAGGGGAGUGAAAAAGAACCUGAAACCGUGUACGUACAAGCAGUGGGAGCACGCUUAGGCGUGUGACUGCGUACCUUUUGUAUAAUGGGUCAGCGACUUAUAUUCUGUAGCAAGGUUAACCGAAUAGGGGAGCCGAAGGGAAACCGAGUCUUAACUGGGCGUUAAGUUGCAGGGUAUAGACCCGAAACCCGGUGAUCUAGCCAUGGGCAGGUUGAAGGUUGGGUAACACUAACUGGAGGACCGAACCGACUAAUGUUGAAAAAUUAGCGGAUGACUUGUGGCUGGGGGUGAAAGGCCAAUCAAACCGGGAGAUAGCUGGUUCUCCCCGAAAGCUAUUUAGGUAGCGCCUCGUGAAUUCAUCUCCGGGGGUAGAGCACUGUUUCGGCAAGGGGGUCAUCCCGACUUACCAACCCGAUGCAAACUGCGAAUACCGGAGAAUGUUAUCACGGGAGACACACGGCGGGUGCUAACGUCCGUCGUGAAGAGGGAAACAACCCAGACCGCCAGCUAAGGUCCCAAAGUCAUGGUUAAGUGGGAAACGAUGUGGGAAGGCCCAGACAGCCAGGAUGUUGGCUUAGAAGCAGCCAUCAUUUAAAGAAAGCGUAAUAGCUCACUGGUCGAGUCGGCCUGCGCGGAAGAUGUAACGGGGCUAAACCAUGCACCGAAGCUGCGGCAGCGACGCUUAUGCGUUGUUGGGUAGGGGAGCGUUCUGUAAGCCUGCGAAGGUGUGCUGUGAGGCAUGCUGGAGGUAUCAGAAGUGCGAAUGCUGACAUAAGUAACGAUAAAGCGGGUGAAAAGCCCGCUCGCCGGAAGACCAAGGGUUCCUGUCCAACGUUAAUCGGGGCAGGGUGAGUCGACCCCUAAGGCGAGGCCGAAAGGCGUAGUCGAUGGGAAACAGGUUAAUAUUCCUGUACUUGGUGUUACUGCGAAGGGGGGACGGAGAAGGCUAUGUUGGCCGGGCGACGGUUGUCCCGGUUUAAGCGUGUAGGCUGGUUUUCCAGGCAAAUCCGGAAAACUAAGGCUGAGGCGUGAUGACGAGGCACUACGGUGCUGAAGCAACAAAUGCCCUGCUUCCAGGAAAAGCCUCUAAGCAUCAGGUAACAUCAAAUCGUACCCCAAACCGACACAGGUGGUCAGGUAGAGAAUACCAAGGCGCUUGAGAGAACUCGGGUGAAGGAACUAGGCAAAAUGGUGCCGUAACUUCGGGAGAAGGCACGCUGAUAUGUAGGUGAAGCGACUUGCUCGUGGAGCUGAAAUCAGUCGAAGAUACCAGCUGGCUGCAACUGUUUAUUAAAAACACAGCACUGUGCAAACACGAAAGUGGACGUAUACGGUGUGACGCCUGCCCGGUGCCGGAAGGUUAAUUGAUGGGGUCAGCGCAAGCGAAGCUCUUGAUCGAAGCCCCGGUAAACGGCGGCCGUAACUAUAACGGUCCUAAGGUAGCGAAAUUCCUUGUCGGGUAAGUUCCGACCUGCACGAAUGGCGUAAUGAUGGCCAGGCUGUCUCCACCCGAGACUCAGUGAAAUUGAACUCGCUGUGAAGAUGCAGUGUACCCGCGGCAAGACGGAAAGACCCCGUGAACCUUUACUAUAGCUUGACACUGAACAUUGAGCCUUGAUGUGUAGGAUAGGUGGGAGGCUUUGAAGUGUGGACGCCAGUCUGCAUGGAGCCGACCUUGAAAUACCACCCUUUAAUGUUUGAUGUUCUAACGUUGACCCGUGAUCCGGGUUGCGGACAGUGUCUGGUGGGUAGUUUGACUGGGGCGGUCUCCUCCUAAAGAGUAACGGAGGAGCACGAAGGUUGGCUAAUCCUGGUCGGACAUCAGGAGGUUAGUGCAAUGGCAUAAGCCAGCUUGACUGCGAGCGUGACGGCGCGAGCAGGUGCGAAAGCAGGUCAUAGUGAUCCGGUGGUUCUGAAUGGAAGGGCCAUCGCUCAACGGAUAAAAGGUACUCCGGGGAUAACAGGCUGAUACCGCCCAAGAGUUCAUAUCGACGGCGGUGUUUGGCACCUCGAUGUCGGCUCAUCACAUCCUGGGGCUGAAGUAGGUCCCAAGGGUAUGGCUGUUCGCCAUUUAAAGUGGUACGCGAGCUGGGUUUAGAACGUCGUGAGACAGUUCGGUCCCUAUCUGCCGUGGGCGCUGGAGAACUGAGGGGGGCUGCUCCUAGUACGAGAGGACCGGAGUGGACGCAUCACUGGUGUUCGGGUUGUCAUGCCAAUGGCACUGCCCGGUAGCUAAAUGCGGAAGAGAUAAGUGCUGAAAGCAUCUAAGCACGAAACUUGCCCCGAGAUGAGUUCUCCCUGACUCCUUGAGAGUCCUGAAGGAACGUUGAAGACGACGACGUUGAUAGGCCGGGUGUGUAAGCGCAGCGAUGCGUUGAGCUAACCGGUACUAAUGAACCGUGAGGCUUAACCUU